UACGGGGGGGGUAAGCGUUGUUCGGAAUUACUGGGCGUAAAGGGCGCGUAGGCGGCCACCGCAAGUCGACUGUGAAAUCUCCGGGCUUAACCCGGAAAGGUCAGCCGAUACUGCGGGGCUAGAGUGCAGAAGGGGCAACUGGAAUUCUCGGUGUAGCGGUGAAAUGCGUAGAUAUCGAGAGGAACACCUGCGGCGAAGGCGGGUUGCUGGGCUGACACUGACGCUGAUGUGCGAAAGCUAGGGGAGCGAACGGG
rnacentral:rRNA from 1 species